rnacentral:tRNA from 2 species
GUUCUCGUGGUGUAGUGGUUAUCAUACUCUCUUAGGGUGAUCUAACAUCUUGAGCUUUGCCUCCAGCUCCUCUUCUGAGGAGUGAUUGGGAGUGGCCCCGGGUUCAAAUCCCGGCGAGGACC